rnacentral:rRNA from 1 species
GGUGCUGCAUGGCUGCGUCAGCUCGUGUCGUGAGAUGUUGGGUUAAGUCCCGUAACGAGCGCAACCCUUGUCCUUAGUUACCAGCACGUUAUGGUGGGCACUCUAAGGAGACUGCCGGUGACAAACCGGAGGAAGGUGGGGAUGACGUCAAGUCAUCAUGGCCCUUACGGCCUGGGCUACACACGUGCUACAAUGGUCGGUACAAAGGGUUGCCAAGCCGCGAGGUGGAGCUAAUCCCAUAAAACCGAUCGUAGUCCGGAUCGCAGUCUGCAACUCGACUGCGUGAAGUCGGAAUCGCUAGUAAUCGUGAAUCAGAAUGUCACGGUGAAUACGUUCCCGGGCCUU